rnacentral:tRNA from 1 species
UCCCUGGUGGUCUAGUGGUUAGGAUUUGGCCCUCUCACUGCCGCGCCCCAAGUCCGAUUCCUGGUCAGGGAA